AUUGAACGCUGGCGGCAGGCCUAACACAUGCAAGUCGAACGAGUGGCGGACGGGUGAGUAACGUCUGGGAAACUCCCCGAUGGCGGGGGAUAACCACUGGAAACGGUAGCUAAUACCGCAUACCAUCGGAUGUGCCCCGAUGGGAGUAGCUAGUUGGUGGGGUAAUGGCUCACCUAGGCGACGAUCCCUAGCUGGUCUGAGAGGAGGACCAGCACCACUGGAACUGAUACACGGUCCAGACGCCUACGGGAGGCAGCAGUGGGAAAUAUUGCACAAUGGGCGCAAGCCGGAUGCAGCCAUGCCGCGUGUAUGGAGAGGGCCUUCGGGUUGUAAAGUACUUUCAGCGAGGAGGCGUUACUCGCAGAAGAAGCACCGGCUAACUCCGUGCCAGCAGCCGCGGUAAUUC
rnacentral:rRNA from 1 species